rnacentral:rRNA from 1 species
UACGUAGGUGACAAGCGUUAUCCGGAGUUACUGGGCGUAAAGCGCACGCAGGCGGUUAGAUAAGUUUGAUGUAAAAUCUUCUGGCUUAACUGGGAGAAGUCGUUGAAUACUGUCUGACUAGAGGCAAUGAGAGGAGUGCAGAAUCCCCGGUGUAGUGGUGGAAUGCGUAGAGAUCGGGGGGAAUAUCUGAGGCGAAAGCGGCACUCUGGCAUUGAACUGACGCUCAUGAGCGAAAGCGUGGGGAGCGAACGGG